rnacentral:misc_RNA from 1 species
AACCUAGCACACCUGCGGUGUGUACCUGCGGAGGGAUCAUUAUAGAGUUUUCUAAACUCCCAAACCCAUGUGAACUUACCAUUGUUGCCUCGGCAGAACCUACCCGGUACCUACCCUGGAACUAGCUACCCUGUAGCUACCCAGGAACGGGCUACCCUGUAACGUCCUGCCGGUGGACUUCUAAACUCUUGUUAUUUAUAGUAAUCUGAGCGUCUUAUUUUAAUAAGUCAAAACUUUUAG